GAUGAACGCUAGCUACAGGCUUAACACAUGCAAGUCGAGGGACCGGCGCACGGGUGAGUAACACGUAUCCAACCUGCCCUUUACUCGGGGAUAGCCUUUCGAAAGAAAGAUUAAUACCCGAUAUAAAGGAUGGGGAUGCGUUCCAUUAGGUUGUUGGUGAGGUAACGGCUCACCCAGCCUUCGAUGGAUAGGGGUUCUGAGAGGAAGUGCACCGAAAGUGGAACUGAGACACGGUCCAAACUCCUACGGGAGGCAGCAGAGAUGAAUAUUGGUGAAUGGGCGCUAGCCUGAACCAGCCAAUGAGCGUGAAGGAUGAAGGCUUAUGGGUCGUAAACUUCGUUUAUAUAAGAAUAUGUAUUAUAUGAAUAAGGAUCGGCUAACUCCGUGCCAGCAGCCGCGGUAAUUC
rnacentral:rRNA from 1 species